rnacentral:rRNA from 1 species
CCCUUAGAUGUUCUGGGCUGCACGCGCGCUACACUGAUGCGAUCAACAAGUUUUUCCUAUGUCGAUAGACACGGGUAAUCUUUUGAACUCGCAUCGUGAUGGGGAUAGAUUAUUGUAAUUAUUAAUCUUCAACGAGGAAUUCCUAGUAGGUGCAAAUCAUCAGUUUGCAUCGAUUACGUCCCCGCCCUUUGUACACACCGCCCGUCGCUGCUACCGAUUGGUUGAUCUGGUGAAUUAUUCGGACUGCCGGCUGAAGGGGUUUCCUCAUCUGCCAGCGGAAAGUCUUGUUAACCCUAUCAACUAGAGGAAGCAGAAGUCGUAACA